rnacentral:piRNA from 1 species
UGGACAUUUGAUUUAUUUAGCCUGCCCAUUU